rnacentral:rRNA from 1 species
UACAGAGGUCUCAAGCGUUUGUUCGGAUUCAUUGGGCGUAAAGGGUGUGUAGGUGGCGCGCUAAAGUCGGGGUGUGAAAGUCGGGGGCUCAACCCUCGGAUGCCGGUGGAUACUGUCGGGCUUGAGUACGGAAGAGGCGAGUGGAAUUCCUGGUGUAGCGGUGAAAUGCGCAGAUAUCAGGAGGAACACCAAUUGCGAAGGCAGCUCGCUGGGACGUUACUGACGCUGGAGACGCGAAAGCGUGGGGAGCAAACAGG